AGUCGUAACAAGGUUCCGUAGGUGAACCUGCGGAAGGAUCGUUAAUAAUUUUUUAGGUUGAAAUGAAACCUAAAAUAUAAUAUCCUACCCUUUGUGAAUUGUUGUUGAAAUAAUUUUUAAAAAAUUAUUAUGUUUUGUCUAUCCUGAGUUGUAAGAGAAGUAAUUCUUGAAGACUAGGGAAUAGCUUUAUCUAUAAAUAAUGAUUUAAAGACCUUUUUUAAAUAAACUUUGUAUCAUUUUCUAAAUUAUUUUUAAUAAUUUAAAAACAACUUUGACAAUGGAUCUCUUGGUUCUCGCAACGAUGAGAACGCAGCAAAAUGCGAUAAGUAAUGUGAAUUGCAGAAUACGUGAUCAUCAAAUCUUCGAACGCAUAUUGCACUUUUUAGUUUACUAAAAAGUAUUCUGUUGGUAUCAGUAAAAUAUUCUCAUAAAAAUUACUUUUUUAUGGUUUGAGUGUUUUACAACGAUACAAGUGUUUCACUUAAAUUGACUUUAAAUUGCCUAUUAAUUUAGUCAAUUUUAAAAUUGCAUAAAAUUUCCCGUAAAAGGAAUAACCUAUCAAUUUAAAUUAACUGAUAUUAAAAGGCCUUGCUAAAGGAAAUUAAUUAAAUAACUUGAUCUCAAUCAGAUAAGAGUACCGCUGAACAUAAGCAUAUCAAUAAGCGGAGGAAAAGAAACUAACAAGGAUCCCUAGUAACGGCGAGUGAAGCGGGAAGAGCUCAAAUUUGAAAUCUUCAAGUUGACCUUGACGAAUUGUAGUUAAAGAAGUGUUUCGGUUAGAGAGUGGUAAAAGUUCUUUGGAAUAGGACAUCAUAGAGGGUGAGAUCCGUAUUGACCAUUCUUCUAGCUUGUGAUACACUUUCAAGAGUCGGAUUGUUUGGGAAUGCAGUCCAAAUGGGUGGUAAUUUCAUCUAAAGCUAAAUAUUGCGAGAGACCGAUAGCGAACAAGUACCGUGAGGAAAGAUGAAAAGAACUUGAAAGAGAGUUAACAGUACGUGAAUUGUCAAAGGGAAGCGUUUGACACCAGUGUUGUUUUCCGAAAUCAAUAAAAUGAUUCAUGCAGUUGUAUUGACCUUAUCAGCUUGCAAUUUGGUUUGGUUCUUUUUGAUGCACUUUCGGUUAACAAGUCAACAUCAAUUUCCUUGCUGUAAAAGGGCAGAGGAAGGUGGCUCAAUUUCGGUUGAAGUGUUUAUAGCCUUUGUCUCUGCAGUCGGGAGAUUGAGUCUGCAGCGUAGAUCCUUCGGGUUAGAUACAUUCGUGCUAAGUUAUAGCCUUUUAUAGACAACUUGUUGACUAUGAUCGGUCUGUAUUACUCGCGAGUGCUAUUUUACCUACGCUUAGGAUGUUGA
rnacentral:misc_RNA from 1 species